GAAUUUUUGACAAUGGGCGAAAGCCUGAUCCAGCAGUGCCGCGUGCAGGAUGAAGGCCUUCGGGUUGUAAACUGCUUUUGUACGGAACGAAAAGCUUUGGGUUAAUACCCUGGAGUCAUGACGGUACCGUACGAACAAGCACCGCCUCACUACGUGCCAGCCGCCGCGGUAAUCCGCAGGGUGCAAGCGUUAAGCGGAAUUAGGGGGCGUAAGGGGGGCGGAGGAGGUUUUGGAAGACAGAGGUGAAAUCCCGGGGCUCAACCGGGGAACUGCCUUUGUGACUGCAAGGCUAGAGUACGGCAGAGGGGGGUGGAAUUCCGGGUGUAGCAGUGAAAUGCGUAGAUAUGCGGAGGAACACCGAUGGCGAAGGCAACCCCCUGGGCCUGUACUGACGCUCAUGCACGAAAGCGUGGGGAGCAAAC
rnacentral:rRNA from 1 species